AAAUGCAACCUGAUGGCCCCAGUUUGAUUAUUGAACUGUAAGCUCUGCAGAGAAAGGGACCAUGUCUAAUCUCCUCUGUGUAUCACACCAGAACCAUGGUUCCGGAUCCUACACACGCUGUUUGCUUAACUGACUGUUUGAGAGCUUGGCUGUGUUGAAUCUGUGUAGUGACCUGCUGAAGGUGAAUUGCUCAGCUUGGCAGCCCUCCUCCAGUUCACUGCUGUAAUGAAAAUUGGCAGCUUUUGAGAAAAACAGUAACCAUUUUGAGGAGAGCACCUGCUACAUGGACCAUAAACAGCACAAGAACCUCUCCAGCCCAAAUAUGAUGCCAUUCUUCAAAUGUAUUAGAGAAAACCCUGUUAGAUUGUCAGAGGUCAGUCAGUCUAAGCACAGGAGGUGGGCUGAACAUUCUGUCCCAAAUGUCUUAUCAUCCAUAAUGGUGCUCACAAUGAUCAGAAGUUUUCAAAUUAAGGGCAAUAAUGUCCCAAGGUCAUUAUCAUUUCUCUUUGGACUUUUCAGCAAGAAGUUAGGGCACCAGGUGACCUAACAGAAUUAACAUCAAAGACUAUUAGGUUUUCACUCAGUUUUUUUAUUUCUUUUUAUAGAAUGUUCCAUUCAGCAGUAGUUAAAACAACUUCAAAUUGAUUUGCCUUGAAGGAUGAAUAAAGUGUGACUUUAUUGCCACAAGCAUAGUAUUUUAACUAUACCAGUUCAAUGUUGAAGUUUGAAGGCACAAUCUUAGGUUCCUUUUUAUUGCAGCAAUGGGACAUUUGCUCAGAAUCUGAUAGCAAUUCUCCUUUGGGAAUUUCUCUGAGACAGUCAAUAAAACACAUAAAAUAAUCAUGCUGUUUUCUCUUAAACCUUACAUGAUUAUCACCCAACAGUGUCACCUACAGUGUUUACCGGUUUUGCUCUGUGUGACUUCUGGCUGUCCCCUAAGUAAGCUCCGCUCUGAAAGCACAAGGCUCUGUCAUUAUUGAAGAUAAUCAAGAAUGUACUCUAGGUGGGAAUUGAACAAUGAGAACA
rnacentral:lncRNA from 10 species